UGAUACAAUAUGGUUUUUGAAGUUUGUUUUUACUGCGGGAAAAGAAAGGUUGAGGGGCAUGUGUGCCCUAAAAUUAAACCGGAUAAUGGCUGUUUCAUGAUUGACAAGGUUUUUAAUGAUGAACCGUCGGUUUAUCUGGAUGAUGUGGUUAUUGAUGAGGAUGUAAAGGUGUGCUUGGAAAAUGAUGUGACCAUAUCCAACUGUAGUGAGGAGAAGUACACGGAAGUCAAGGAAGCCGGGCAACGUGUUGAGGAUGUAGGCUUGAUGAGGAGGGAUAGACUACAGUUGUCCUAAGAUGGAGGAAGAAAGUAGAUAAAAGGAAAAUGGGUGAAAGCUCUAUUGAUGAAAGGUCGUACAGAGAUGUGGCUGCUUCUCCUAAACCUAAAUAGGUGGCUAAGGCUGAUAUUGUGCAGGAUUGGCGAAGGGCAAUAAAAAUCAAAGGAGAGGGAGCAGCAGGAUGUGAUGAUGAAACAUGUUGGAAGUGGUGAGUCGGAAGCUAGGAAGACCUUGGGUAGCUUUGUUGUGGCUAUGCUUAUGGUCGAGGUAGCAUCUAUGAGUGCUAAGCCAACUGUUGGUUUGCUCAGUCCAAGAAAACGCGUCCGUGAAGAAGAAGAUGUUGAAGCUGGUCUGUCGACUUAUCUUGAAGAACUUGACUGAUAAAGGGUAUCAUGUGGAAUUGUAGGGGUUAGGGUAGACCGAAAUUUACUAGUAAUUUUAGUUUUCUUAAUAGCUUGGUUAAGCUUGAUUUCUUUUGUGUUGUAGAAACUAAAUCUACUGUGGACAAGGCCCCCGUUAGUUGUUUUAGAAGGUUUUUUUUUAUCAGUGUUUUGGUUUUAACCCUGAGGGGAGAUCAGGAGGCAUUUUUAUUUGUUGGAAUGCUAGUGCUAUUAAUAUUAAUGCGAUUGCUGCUUCUUCUAGGUUA